rnacentral:piRNA from 1 species
CACACACACUUUUCUAAACAGGUUCUUACU